rnacentral:rRNA from 1 species
AACAGGAUUAGAUACCCUGGUAGUCCACGCUGUAAACGAUGUCGACUUGGAGGUUGUGCCCUUGAGGCGUGGCUUCCGGAGCUAACGCGUUAAGUCGACCGCCUGGGGAGUACGGCCGCAAGGUUAAAACUCAAAUGAAUUGACGGGGGCCCGCACAAGCGGUGGAGCGUGUGGUUUAAUUCGAUGCAACGCGAAGAACCUUACCUACUCUUGACAUCCAGAGAAUUUGCUAGAGAUAGCUUAGUGCCUUCGGGAACUCUGAGACAGGUGCUGCAUGGCUGCCGUCAGCUCGUGUUGUGAAAUGUUGGGUUAAGUCCCGCAACGAGCGCAACCCUUAUCCUUUGUUGCCAGCACGUAAUGGUGGGAACUCAAAGGAGACUGCCGGUGAUAAACCGGAGGAAGGUGGGGAUGACGUCAAGUCAUCAUGGCCCUUACGAGUAGGGCUACACACGUGCUACAAUGGCAUAUACAAAGAGAAGCGAACUCGCGAGAGCAAGCGGACCUCAUAAAGUAUGUCGUAGUCCGGAUUGGAGUCUGCAACUCGACUCCAUGAAGUCGGAAUCGCUAGUAAUCGUAGAUCAGAAUGCUACGGUGAAUACGCUCCCGGGCCUUGUACACACCGCCCGUCACACCAUGGGGGUGGGUUGCAAAAGAAGUAGGUAGCUUAACCUUCGGGAGGGCGCUUACCACUUUGUGAUUCAUGACUGGGGUGAAGUCGUAACAAGGUAACC